AAUUUAUGUAGCUGUUGAUGGCCGAUUUAUAUCUGGUUGCUGAUACGAGACUCAUUGGACAUCAUGAUUUGUGUAGCUAUCGAUGGUAAAUGUUCAGUGUGCAUCUGAUCUUAUAUAUGGCUGUUGAUGUCAGAUUUAUGGAUAUGUAUGGCAUGUGCAUGAUGUGAUACUCGUAAAUGUACUAUUAUCAUGAAUGAGUUCUUGG
rnacentral:lncRNA from 1 species